rnacentral:rRNA from 1 species
UAGCCACGGUAAUACCAGCCCCCGCGAGUGGUCGGGACGUUUAUUGGGCCUAAAGCGGCCGUAGCCGGCCCCUGUAAGUCCCAGCCUAAAGACCCCGGGCUCAACCCCGGGGAGUGGCUGGGGAUACUACAGGGCUAGAGGGCGGGAGAGGUGGGGGGUACGUCCCGGGGUAGGGGCGGAAAUCCUAUAAUCCCGGGAGGACCACCAGUGGCGAAGGC